rnacentral:rRNA from 1 species
CCAAUAGCGUAUAUUAAAGUUGUUGCAGUUAAAAAGCUCGUAGUUGAAUUUCGGGGUCUGUCCAUUGGUCGGGCUUUACGGUCCGUACUGGGGAGAUGGGUUCCUACCUUCUGAAUAACCAGCAUGCCGUUCAGUUGGUGCGUUGGGGAAGCAGAGCUAUUCCCUUGAAACAACUAGAGUGCUUAAAGCAGGCUAGUGCUUGAAUAGAUUCGCAUGGAAUAAUAAAAUAGGACGGCAUGGUUCUAUUUUGUUGGUUUCUAGGAUCACCGUAAUGAUUAAUAGGGAUAGUUGGGGGCAUUAGUAUUCAAUUGUCAGAGGUGAAAUUCUUGGAUUUAUGAAGACUAACUUCUGCGAAAGCAUUUGCCAAGGAUGUUUUCAUUAAUCAAGAACGAAAGUUAGGGGAUCGAAGACGAUCAGAUACCGUCGUAGUCUUAACCAUAAACUAUGCCGACUAGGGAUCGGACGAUGUUAAUUUUUUAAUGACUCGUUCGGCGCCUUGCG